AUUGAACGCUGGCGGCAUGCCUUACACAUGCAAGUCGAACGGCAGCACGGGAGCAAUCCUGGUGGCGAGUGGCGAACGGGUGAGUAAUAUAUCGGAACGUGCCCAGUCGUGGGGAUAACGUAGCGAAAGCUACGCUAAUACCGCAUACGAUCUAUGGAUGAAAGCGGGGGAUCGCAAGACCUCGCGCGAUUGGAGCGGCCGAUAUCAGAUUAGGUAGUUGGUGAGGUAAAGGCUCACCAAGCCGACGAUCUGUAGCUGGUCUGAGAGGACGACCAGCCACACUGGGACUGAGACACGGCCCAGACUCCUACGGGAGGCAGCAGUGGGGAAUUUUUGGGACAAUGGGCGCAAGCCUGAUCCAGCAAUGCCGCGUGCAGGAUGAAGG
rnacentral:rRNA from 1 species